AUAGGGUAGGUAUUUUAACUGUCCCUCAAUAUUUGUGCCCAACGAACUAUUUAGUUACUGUAAUUUCAAAUUAUAAUGAAGUAAAUUGUAAGGUACGAACGAAUUCAUGAGUUUUUGUUGAAUUCAAGUGUUUGGAACUAUCACUGGAGACGAUGUUGCAAUCUCUGGCUCUGCAGAAAAAGUCCAGAUUAAGUCCAGUUAUAACCCAGUGUUUCCCAGAUAAACCAAUAAAAUUUCCAAUUUUCCAAU